GACGAACGCUGGCGGCGUGCUUAACACAUGCAAGUCGAACGGAAAGGCCCUGCUUUUGUGGGUUGCUCGAGUGUCGAACGGGUGAGUAACACGUGAGUAACCUGCCCUUGCCUUUGGGAUAACUUCACGAAACUGGGGCUAAUACCGGAUAGGUGCUCCUCCUGCAUGGUGGGGGUUGGAAAGUUGCGGCGGUUGGGGAUGGACUCGCGGCUGCUCCGCUUGUUGGUGGGGUAGUGGCUUACCACGGCUUUGACGGGUAGCCGGGCUGAGAGGGUGACCGGGCAAAGUGGGAGUGAGAUACGGCACAGACUCCUACGGGAGGCAGCAGUGGGGGAGAUUGCACGAUGGGCGGAAGCCGGAUGCAGCAAGGCCGCGUGCGGGAUGACGGCCUUCGGGGUGUAAACAGCUGGCGCGUGUGACGAAGGGGGAGUGACGGUAAUGGGUAAAGAAGCACCGGCUAACUACGUG
rnacentral:rRNA from 1 species